rnacentral:rRNA from 1 species
GACGAACGCUGGCGGCGUGCCUAAUACAUGCAAGUAGAACGCUGAAGGAGGAGCUUGCUUCUCUGGAUGAGUUGCGAACGGGUGAGUAACGCGUAGGUAACCUGCCUGGUAGCGGGGGAUAACUAUUGGAAACGAUAGCUAAUACCGCAUAAUAUUGACUAUUGCAUGAUAGUCAGUUGAAAGGUGCAACUGCACCACUACCAGAUGGACCUGCGUUGUAUUAGCUAGUUGGUGGGGUAACGGCUCACCAAGGCGACGAUACAUAGCCGACCUGAGAGGGUGAUCGGCCACACUGGGACUGAGACACGGCCCAGACUCCUACGGGAGGCAGCAGUAGGGAAUCUUCGGCAAUGGACGGAAGUCUGACCGAGCAACGCCGCGUGAGUAAAGAAGGUUUUCGGAUCGUAAAGCUCUGUUGUAAGGGAAGAACGAGUGUGAGAGUGGAAAGCUCACACUGUGACGGUAUCUUACCAGAAAGGGACGGCUAACUACGUG